UUUUAUCUUCCAUCUCUAUUUUGCCAAUUUGUUUAUACAACAUAGAAUAAUAUAUAUCUUUGUUUAAUCCAUGUCAAUAUAUAUUUUAUUUUUUAUAUUAUUUGAAUAAAACAUUCAAAAACAUGAACAUCUAAAAACAUAAAAAAUAAAAUCAAUGUUUAAAGUAUAAAAUAAAAA
rnacentral:misc_RNA from 1 species